GAUGAAGAACGAAGCGAAAUGCGAUAAGUAAUGUGAAUUGCAGAAUUCAGUGAAUCAUCGAGUCUUUGAACGCACAUUGCGCCCCCUGGUAUUCCGGGGGGCAUGCCUGUCCGAGCGUCAUUGCUGCCCUCAAGCACGGCUUGUGUGUUGGGCCGUCGUCCCCCUCCUAGGGGACGGGCCCGAAAGGCAGCGGCGGCACCGCGUCCGGUCCUCGAGCGUAUGGGGCUUCGUCACCCGCUCCGUAGGCCCGGCCGGCGCUUGCCGACGACCAUCAAUCUCUUUCUCCAGGUUGACCUCGGAUCAGGCAGGGAUACCCGCUGAACUUAAGCAUAUCAAUAAGCGGAGGA
rnacentral:misc_RNA from 1 species